GGCUCAGAACGAACGCUAGCGGCGUGCCUAACACAUGCAAGUCGAACGAGAAAUCCCGGGCAACUGGGAGAGUAAAGUGGCGCACGGGUGAGUAACGCGUGGGUAAUUUACCCUGGAGUUAGGAAUAACACCUCGAAAGGGGUGCUAAUACCUGAUAUGGUCCUCGGGUCUUCGGGUUUGAGGAUGAAAGAUGGCUGAGGCUUGCAAGCUAUUGCUCCAGGAUGAGCCCGCGUACCAUUAGCUUGUUGGUAGGGUAACGGCCUACCAAGGCAAUGAUGGUUAGCUGGUCUGAGAGGAUGGCCAGCCACACUGGAACUGAGAUACGGUCCAGACUCCUACGGGAGGCAGCAGUGAGGAAUCUUGCGCAAUGGGGGCAACCCUGACGCAGCAACGCCGCGUGAGUGAUGAAGGCCUUCGGGUCGUAAAGCUCUGUCAGGUGGGAAGAAACUCCCCAUGGUAAAUAAUCAUGGGGAUUGACGGUACCGCCAGAGGAAGCACCGGCUAACUCCGUGCCAGCAGCCGCGGUAAUACGGAGGGUGCUAGCGUUGUUCGGAAUUAUUGGGCGUAAAGAGCGUGUAGGCGGUCGGGUAAGUCAGAUGUGAAAGCCCCUGGCUUAACCAAGGAAGGGUAUUUGAAACUGCCUGGCUUGAGUACGGGAGGGGGAAGCGGAAUUCCCGGUGUAGAGGUGAAAUUCGUAGAUAUCGGGAGGAACACCGGUGGCGAAGGCGGCUUCCUGGACCGAUACUGACGCUGAGACGCGAAAGCGUGGGGAGCAAACAGGAUUAGAUACCCUGGUAGUCCACGCCGUAAACUUUGGGCACUAGGUGUUGCGGGUAUUGACCCCUGCAGUGCCGAAGCUAACGCAUUAAGUGCCCCGCCUGGGGAGUACGGUCGCAAGACUAAAACUCAAAG
rnacentral:rRNA from 1 species